UAAUGUGGAUAAGAAAAAGGAAGCCCCGCGUGAACAGGGCUUCCCCGUGUAGAGCCGUUUAAGACGGUGACAAUACUAUGAUUAUUAAAUA
rnacentral:sRNA from 1 species